CGUCAUGAGGAACACAUCAGCGGAAGAAGACAAAAGCAGCUGGUCUUGGAGAAUCCGCCAGGGGAAGAGCACACUGGCAGGCACCGCAGGCCAUCGAUCGUCAGAAAGACACGGAGUUUGGCCAGAAUUAUCAGAGAAGAGUUUGGCCAGAGGGGUCAGAGAAGACUCCAGCGGAAAACCAUCUCCCCUGUGACUCCAGAAUCUUCUGAGAGCUACUUCUACUUAAUAAAACCUUGCACUCAUUCUCCAAGCCCACAUGUGAUCCGAUUCAUCCAGUACACCAAGUGUCCAGGGACAUCUAGAUGAUAGAAGUUCCUUCAGAUGGGUCCCUGGUGUGAGGGUGUCCUGUAUCAGACUGCCUAUUGAAGUUCAACCUGUGGUUCAAGACAGGAUCUCAUUCAGAAUACUACUUUCAUUCAGGCUGGAGUGCAGUGGCAUGAUCUUAGCUCUCUGCAACUUCCGCCUCCUGGGCUCAAGCGAUUCUCCUGUCUCAGGCUCCGGAGUAGCUGGGACUACAGGCAUGCGCCACAACACCAGGGAAAAAAACAAACCAACCAACAAACUGAGCCUGAAACUGAUAACACAGAUACGUACAGCAUCAUAUUUAAGUAACCAAUCGGAAUUAUUGCAGUGGAGAUGUUUUAUUGCCACCAAAGAUUUGCUGUCAUCCACACAGAA
ensembl:lncRNA novel transcript